rnacentral:rRNA from 1 species
UACGUAGGGUGCGAGCGUUGUCCGGAAUUAUUGGGCGUAAAGAGCUUGUAGGUGGUUUGUCGCGUCUGCUGUGAAAAUCCGAGGCUCAACCUCUGACUUGCAGUGGGUACGGGCAGACUAGAGUGUGGUAGGGGAGACUGGAAUUCCUGGUGUAGCGGUGGAAUGCGCAGAUAUCAGGAGGAACACCGAUGGCGAAGGCAGGUCUCUGGGCCAUUACUGACACUGAGAAGCGAAAGCAUGGGGAGCGAACAGG